rnacentral:lncRNA from 1 species
UUCUUCUGGAACAGCAGUUCUGUGUGAGUUGAACAUCUUUUGUCAAGGUUUCAGAAUUGCUUUUUGUAAUCCACUGCACCCUGGUCUUCUGGCUAUCUGGUGUUAUGAGAUUUCAGAUGAUCUAGAUCUUGUGUGUUUUCACCACUUACUUUGUGAUUCCAGAGUAGAGGUAAGUAACUUAUGUAAAGGGUCUCAGAUCUUUUAAGACUGGAGUUAGGCAUUUUCUGCUUAACUACUGGAUCUGAGGACUGCAUACUGCUGAUUAUUUGCAAGAAAAGCACGCAAGGAUGUUUCUUUCAUGAGCAAGAGAACCUAGACCAAAAGGCGUAAUGGUUCUAAGUUCUGAAAACUGCCAUGUAAAACCCAUGACACAUGA